AUUAGGCAUGCAAGUCGAACGGUAUAAACCUUCGGGGUUUAGAGAGUGGCGAACGGGUGAGUAACACGUAGGUAAUCUACCCUCAAAACGGGGACAACCCAGGGGAAACUUGGGCUAAUACCGGAUGCGUGCAAGCAAUGUUUUGGCUGUUAAUGCUAUUCACGGAAGUGAGUAGUGUUAAUGGUUGAGAGCAUUAUUUGCAUAAAAGGUGGCAUAUGCUGCCGUUUGAGGAUGAGCCUGCGUCCUAUUAGUUAGUUGGUGAGGUAAUGGCUUACUAAGGCGAUGAUAGGUAGGCGGCCCUAACGGGUGGUCGCCCACACUGGGAUUGAGAGACGGCCCAGACUCCUACGGGAGGCAGCAGUCGAGAAUAGUCUACAAUGGACGGAAGUCUGAUAGUGCGACGCCGCGUGAACGAAGAAUCCCUUCGGGGUGUAAAGUUCUUUUAUACGUGAGCAGUGCCCUUUAUAUGAAUAGUAUAGAGGGAGGGAUUUAAGCGUAUGAAUAAGCAACGGCUAACUCCGUG
rnacentral:rRNA from 1 species